GUGGGGAAUAUUGGACAAUGGGCGAAAGCCUGAUCCAGCAAUGCCGCGUGAGUGAUGAAGGCCCUAGGGUUGUAAAGCUCUUUUACCCGGGAUGAUAAUGACAGUACCGGGAGAAUAAGCUCCGGCUAACUCCGUGCCAGCAGCCGCGGUAAUACGGAGGGAGCUAGCGUUGUUCGGAAUUACUGGGCGUAAAGCGCGCGUAGGCGGUUUUCCAAGUCAGGGGUGAAAGCCCGGGGCUCAACCCCGGAAUAGCCCUUGAAACUGGAAGACUAGAAUCUUGGAGUGGUCAGUGGAAUUCCGAGUGUAGAGGUGAAAUUCGUAGAUAUUCGGAAGAACACCAGUGGCGAAGGCGACUGACUGGACAAGUAUUGACGCUGAGGUGCGAAAGCGUGGGGAGCAAACAGGAUUAGAUACCCCGGUAGUCC
rnacentral:rRNA from 1 species